rnacentral:rRNA from 1 species
GUCGUAACAAGGUUUCCGUAGGUGAACCUGCGGAAGGAUCAUUACCGAGUGAGGGCCCUCUGGGUCCAACCUCCCACCCGUGUUUAUUUUACCUUGUUGCUUCGGCGGGCCCGCCUUAACUGGCCGCCGGGGGGCUCACGCCCCCGGGCCCGCGCCCGCCGAAGACACCCUCGAACUCUGUCUGAAGAUUGAAGUCUGAGUGAAAAUAUAAAUUAUUUAAAACUUUCAACAACGGAUCUCUUGGUUCCGGCAUCGAUGAAGAACGCAGCGAAAUGCGAUACGUAAUGUGAAUUGCAAAUUCAGUGAAUCAUCGAGUCUUUGAACGCACAUUGCGCCCCCUGGUAUUCCGGGGGGCAUGCCUGUCCGAGCGUCAUUGCUGCCCUCAAGCCCGGCUUGUGUGUUGGGCCCCGUCCUCCGAUCUCCGGGGGACGGGCCCGAAAGGCAGCGGCGGCACCGCGUCCGGUCCUCGAGCGUAUGGGGCUUUGUCACCCGCUCUGUAGGCCCGGCCGGCGCUUGCCGAUCAACCCAAAUUUUUAUCCAGGUUGACCUCGGAUCAGGUAGGGAUACCCGCUGAACUUAAGCAUAUCAAUAAGCGGAGGACGCGUCCGGUCCUCGAGCGU